AGAACUGUUGGUAAGGAACUCGGCAAAAUGACCCCGUAACUUAGGGAUAAGGGGGGCCACCAUCAGGUGGCCGCAGAGAAUAGGCCCAAGCGACUGUUUACCAAAAACAUAGGUUUCUGCUAAGUCGAAAGACGAUGUAUAGGAGCUGACGCCUGCCCGGUGCUGGAAGGUUAAGGGGAUCUGUUAGAGCAAUCGAAGCAGGGAACUUAAGCCCCAGUAAACGGCGGCCGUAACUAUAACGGUCCUAAGGUAGCG
rnacentral:rRNA from 1 species